AUUGAACGCUGGCGGAAUGCUUUACACAUGCAAGUCGAACGGCAGCACGGACUUCGGUCUGGUGGCGAGUGGCGAACGGGUGAGUAAUAUAUCGGAACGUGCCCAGUCGUGGGGGAUAACGUAGUGAAAAUUACGCUAAUACCGCAUACGAUCUAUGGAUGAAAGCGGGGGAUCGCAAGACCUCGCGCGAUUGGAGCGGCCGAUAUCAGUUUAGGUAGUUGGUGAGGUAAAGGCUCACCAAGCCGACGAUCUGUAGCGGGUCUGAGAGGACAACCGGCCCCACUGGAACUGCGACACGUGCCAGACUCCUACGGGAGGCAGCAGUGGGGAAUUUUGGACAAUGGACGCAAGUCUGAUCCAGCAAUUCCGCGUGCAGGACGAAGGCCUUCGGGUUGUAAAAUGCUUUUGUACAGAACGAAAAGAUCUCUAUUAAUACUAGGGGCUCAUGACGGUACUGUAAGAGUAAGCACCGGCUAACUACGUGCCAGCCGCCGCCGUAA
rnacentral:rRNA from 1 species